AUAGAAUUAAAGAUGUAUUUAUUUAUUGUCGACAAUGAAUGCUAUAGUAUACAUACACGUUUGCAUUAUGUAGUGCGUUUUUGAUUUACAACAAGUGGGUAUUGAGACAAAUUCUAAAUAGCCCUAGCUCUUUUUUUUGUCAGAACGUUUAAACGUAAAGUUUUGGAGGAAUUAAAUGGAAUGGAGGCUCAAGCAGGGCCCCGCGUGCACGGCUGUCGUGAAGUUAAUUCGAAGUGACUGCGGCGGGAGGGGGAGCUUUAGACUACGAACAUGAUGACGGCGAUAAUAGCAAUAAUAAUAACACCACCCGUCUGAGGGCCCAACCUUAAAUAUAUUAGGAGGAAAAUAUCAACAUUUUAAAACAUCAACCUCGUUAAAGUUUACACUGACAGUGUUGUAUGAAGAAGAAGACAAACUGAACGUAGAGAUCAAUUUCUUUACUUAAAUCAAUUUCCUUAGAAUUCAUAGGCUAUAGACCAACACUCGAGAAUCUUUAAAAACUGAUCCCUUAUUUGACAUUUACAUGGUUAUGUUAUAUGUUCAGAAUACAACUGUGGGUAUAUGAAGUUCGAUGUUAAAUGUUUUACUUUUUGGUGGGGGGAUUUCUGGAGUAGCCUAUUUAGCUAGCCAAACGACAAUCAAGUCCCCUUGGUCAAUUGGUAUUCUUCUGCCGGUUAUUUGUUGGGUGUAAGAAAAGAUAAAUGAUUUAGUGGUACAGUGUAAUAACAUCAUUAUCAAAAUAAAAAUGAAUACACAAUACGUGUAAAUAGUCUACAUCACUAAUUAAAUAAUUAGUUCAAAUAAAUGGUAUUCAUUCGUUUUAAAGAGCAACACCAUAACAAGAGAGAUCACAUAUGAGGCACACAUAUAAUGGACUAUUGGUGUUAAAGAAUAUUAGUUUUUCCUGUUUUUAUUUUACAUGUACGUUGCAAAUUCAGCAUAUCACUAUAUAUAUAUAGUGCAACACUUUCUAGUACGGAGAAAUAUAAGGGUUCUUGAGAUAGACCUUCGUGAAGCCUUGAGAAAUGUGAUCGCCUAUAUAACGAAGAUCAAUAUGUAAUGAGGGAGGGCUACAGAUCAACAACUUGGACGUGGGCAGGAAGCUAUAGCCCACUGUAUGCAACAUGCAAUCACCUACUUUAUAGAAUAGUCUCACAAAAGAUGAGCAUUUGUUCAACAAAAAACGUGAAUGCACAGAACUUCAAAAAGUGGGGUCUAUUCCGACUCCGUAGGGGGAGUUUAUGUCCUAAGAGGGCUUGCGUUCGAAACCCAGAUUUUCCCGGGGUACGCAGGACUUCUUGUAAACCCAGAACGUCUAAAUUAUUAAAGAAAUUCGGUAGACUCUUCAAACACGAUUCGUGGGUCAGCAAGGCAGAGGGAUAGGUCAAGAGUGCGUUUUUGUACAACUUGGGGAUUUCUCUAAGUAUUGGAAUAUAUACUUAUUUGGGCGUUCUAGCUGACUACAGUCUCGCCUCAGCUACAUGUUUUCAAUCACCAACAUACUUUGAUAAGAUGUUGUAGGACUUCAAACAAUUGAAGAGAUAGUUUGGGCCAGAGUACAGCAGCAGCCAUCUCAAAGUGUGCGACCGAUUUUAGAUCUUUGGCUGCCUUAUUUGCAUAGAUAAAUCAUUACUGUCUCAGAUAGGCAACCACAUAACAUACACCCAGUACUCUGCCUUGGGGACACGUCUGCAACAUAUUUUCCUUUCUAUUUCUCGACACAGAUUGAGUGUCAUUUUCAAAAUGAUUAGGCCUACAUAUUUAUUGUGCAAGACAGUACUGACCGUGUUCGUAGAUACAACAUGCCUUCCUUAGCUACCAGUUGAUUGUUUGGUGGCCAGCAACUUGCAGAAUUACUGCCUGCCUGCAGCGGGGGAGCGGGCCUCCUUCUCGGCGGGGGCUUCUCUCGCCACCCUGCUGAGCUGGGACGGGCGGACGAAUCCCCACCCUAUAGGCAUAAGGCGCCCAGCUAGGAAAUACAAUACAACGUCAAUUAAAUGCAGUCUCCGCUGCGAUUUACUGCAAUGAAUGAUAAAUUGGUAGUCGUUCUCACACCAUAGGAUCAUUCAAAUUGCAAUAAUAGGGAAAAUCGUUAUGUAAAAUAUGUAUAGGCUACAUUUAGGCCUACCAUAUUUAGUCUCUCUGGGAAACCAUUUCUCUAUCUCUUUUGUUGCAAAUUCCAGCCCAAGUAACCAGGUUGUUUUCAAGGCGUCGGUGUUUAAGGUCAAAUUGUUUUAUUGCAUGAUUGCUAUAGCAUAUAGUUACAGACGUUUGAAAACAUAAAUGUACAGUAACACAGAUUUGCGAAUAACAAAAUAAUUUCGUGGCUGUCGACCGUGAAAUGAGAACAGGGAAGAUAUUUCGUGGUAAACAUUGUAGGAUAAACAAUAAUUACAAACAUAAAGGAUGAGGCUGGACAGGCAGGCGGGGAGACAGCAGUACUCCUAUACCAGGUCUAGGCCAUAGGACUGAAGAGAGCUAGAGGGAGAUCUAUCGACCAGGUGUUUUAGAAGUAAAAUCGUAUCUUACUUUAAAUUUGCAGUUUAGCUAAUCAAUAGUGUGAGAUGAAAUAUAAUGAAGCGUUAUGGUUUUGUGUUUCUGGCUUCAUUACUUUCAAAUGAUAAUGUCGGUUUACAGUGAUCCAACCGUGCAUAUUCUAAACGUUUAUUCUGUGAGCAUACAACUACCCAACUAGGCUUUUUGAAGAUGCACGGUGAUAGUAUGUUCAGAUUAAGGCCCUACGAAAUUACCUCGCCAUGUAUUAAAAUAGUAAUUUCAUUUAAAAAAAUCGAUUUAAAUUUUCUUUCAUUCGGCCUUCCAUUUCAUGGACACAUUCAUGUUAACAUAACGAGAGGUGGCUUGGAACUGUGAAUAAAUAUUAUUGUGAUAAAUUCAUUGCCCUUUGCGCACGUGAGACAGAAGUACAUCUCUAUAGUGGAUAUUGGCACGUGAAGGCCAGCCCUGGUCAAGUGAUUUUACCUUCUAUAUACAAUUAAAAGGACUGUUCUUAUGAUAUAAUGUCAAUGGUUCACAUGCCGUCUUAAUCGUGUAUUGUGAGAAUAAAAGCACGAUUUAAAAAACCCACACCAAUAUCAUGUCAACUGAAUGUACAUUUAUAACAGCGUUUUAAAUCCAGAUUUAUGAAUGUCAAAUUGGUGUUAUUGUUUGCUUUUGCGAUAAAUACAAAUUCUUGAUUUUAUUGAGUUUUCCGUUUACCAAAAAAGUUGGCCUAAAUAAUAAAUAAUGCUAUAAAAUAUAUGUUUCAGAAGAUGUAGUAGCUACAUUACUUCAAGAUGUAUUUUACAUAUACUGUAAAUGGGAGUGCAUUUAAAAUUGCGUGCCUCUUUUCUGUUUUCUUUCUCUUUAUUAAUCUAUUUUAUUCCCCUCCACUCCCAGUCCUAUAAUACUCCACUACAAAUGUUUGGACAAAAAAUGUAAAAGAAAACAUCAGCACAUCCAAAUAUUUUGUUGCUGAACCUUCAGCCCCCUUCCUUGCCUCUCUGGGGUGCAGGUAUUAUCCGGGUGUAGGUAGUAAGUUAUCCGGGUGUAGGUAGUCAGUUAUGGGAGUGUCCUGGAAAGAGCAAUGGGGCUUAUUUAAUUGGUUGUGGACCUCCCAGAGUUUCUAUAUUUCCCAUGCAUGGGUAGAAAGCCCUCUGAUAAAUUAUUCUAUGCUGAUUUUUUCCAAUGUAAGGUUUCAUGUAAUUGUAAUUUGUUGUUAAUCUAACACAUAAUGUAAUCCAAAUAUCCAAUAAUAAAGACAUUAACUGCAA
ensembl:lncRNA